rnacentral:tRNA from 1 species
GCAUUGAUAGCUUAGUUCAUAGCAAUAGUCUUGUAAACUGUAGGUCGGGGGUUCAAAUCCCCCUCAAUGCU